UUAUUCGUGGUGUUGCAACCAAUCCAGUGGAUCAUCCUCAUGGAGGAGGUAGGGGCACACGAAAGGAGUGGCUUCGGUUAAUGCCUUUGUCCGUAGGCGGUUGUACACUUUAAGCUUGAAGUAAGAAGAGAUAUUUUUUUGGGAAAAAAAAGGGGAAAAAGAAAAGUCUAAGUGCAUAUGGCAUGAAAAGGAAAUCCGAUUUCAAUAAGACUUGAGAAGAAUUUGAGUUCAAAUAUCCUUCGUCCAGUUCGUCAUUUAUUGACAGAUUUUUCGGUAUUUAUCUCUCUAAGAACUAGAAAGUUACUUACUUCUUUUUAUACCGCGAGUGACGAACUAUAGCCAUUCGCGGUCACCGCUGUCCUACUUUACUUUUUUAUUAAACCUCACCCAAGGCA
rnacentral:lncRNA from 1 species